GUGCUCGCCUCAGCAACACAAAUACUAAAAUUGGAACGAUACAGAGAAGAUUCACAUGGCCCCUGUGCAAGGAUGACAUGCAAAUUCGUGAAGCGUUCCAUUUUUUC